UACGAACCGUGCAAACGUUGUUCGGAAUCACUGGGCUUAAAGGGCGCGUAGGCGGGCGGGCAAGUCGGAGGUGAAAGCCCACGGCUCAACCGUGGAAGUGCCCCCGAUACUGCUUGUCUGGAGGGAGGUAGGGGCGUGCGGAACUUCCGGUGGAGCGGUGAAAUGCGUAGAUAUCGGAAGGAACACCGGUGGCGAAAGCGGCGCGCUGGACCUCUUCUGACGCUGAGGCGCGAAAGCCAGGGGAGCAAAGCGGGG
rnacentral:rRNA from 1 species